rnacentral:rRNA from 1 species
AGAGUUUGAUCCUGGCUCAGGAUGAACGCUGGCGGCAUGCCUAAGACAUGCAAGUCGAACGAAGUGAACUAAUGAAGAUGGAGUGCUUGCACAAAGUCAGAUUUAAAUUCACUUAGUGGCAGACGGGUGAGUAACACGUGGGUAAUCUACCCCAAAGACUGGGACAACAGUUAGAAAUGACUGCUAAUACCGGAUGAUUCAUAUUUAGAUAACUAGAUAUGCUAAAAGGAGCCUUUAAAGCUUCACUUUGGGAUGAGCUUGCGGCGCAUUAGUUAGUUGGUGGGGUAAUGGCCUACCAAGACUACGAUGCGUAUCCGAGCUGAGAGGCUGAACGGACACAUUGGGACUGAGACACGGCCCAAACUCCUACGGGAGACAGCAGUUAGGAAUAUUCGUCAAUGGGGGAAACCCUGAACGAGCAAUGCCGCGUGAGUGAUGAAGGUCUUAUUGAUCGUAAAACUCUGUUGUAAGAGACGAAACCACAGUAUAGGAAAUGAUACUGUGCUGACGGUAUCUUACCAGAAAGCCCCGGCUAACUACGUGCCAGCAGCCGCGGUAAUACGUAGGGGGCGAGCGUUAUCCGGAUUUAUUGGGUGUAAAGGGUGCGUAGGCGGUUUAUUAAGUCUAAAAUUAAAGCCUGGGGCUUAACCUCAGUUCGUUUUAGAAACUGGUAGGCUUGAGUAUGGUAGAGGUAAGUGGAAUUUCUAGUGUAGCGGUUAAAUGCGUAGAUAUUAGAAGGAACACCAGUGGCGAAGGCGGCUUACUGGGCCAUUACUGACGCUGAUGCACGAAAGCGUGGGGAGCAAAUAGGAUUAGAUACCCUAGUAGUCCACGCUGUAAACGAUGAUUACUAAGUGUCGGGAAACCGGUGCUGAAGCUAACGCAUUAAGUAAUCCACCUGAGUAGUACGGUCGCAAGACUGAAACUCAAAUGAAUUGACGG